rnacentral:rRNA from 1 species
GGGUCAGUAGGUUGGUCGUGCCACCGGUACGUACUGGUCUCACUGAUUCCUCCUUCCUGAAGAACCGUAGUGCCAUUAAUUUGGUGUUGCGGGGAAACAGGACUGUUACUUUGAAAAAAUUAGAGUGUUUGAAGCAAGCUAACGCUUGAAUACAUUAGCAUGGAAUAAUGAAAUAGGACGAUCGAUCCUAUUUUGUUGGUUUCUAGGAUUGACGUA